UGCUGUAAGAAAGAAAACAGCAGACCAGCUUCAUCUUUAUCCCAUUAUUUUUCACAUUAUAAUGUGCACCCCUUAUGUAACCAACUAGCAACACUAAAUGGGAGCAAUGAUGCAAUUCCUAGGUCUUGCACAAAGGCACAUGCAGGAAAAGGAAUGAGAUUGUUUGUUUAAGGUAUAUAAGAAGUGACACAGAAGACACAGGUCUCCCACCUUAGCUGGUUUUGUAAGAACAUGACGUGAAUAAAUCAAAUUAUUGCAAUUUUGCAAGAGCAGAAGCCCACAAACUGACAAGAGAGGAGACAGGAGAAGAGGAGAUGAAAUUGAAGAGGAAGAGACAUAUGCAGAGGGAAGAGAAGAAAGAAACUACCUGCCAUUGACAACCAAAUAAUUGAGAAAAAUGUAAAAUAUAAAAUUGUGGUUUCUGGAAGCAGAGAAACAGUACUUUUAGACAUGUGAAAAAUACUAAUCUAAACAAAAAAGUAGGAGUGGGACAGAGUUCAAGGGGUUGAAGUCUAUAAUCAGAGUUGGAUAAUCUCACAAUAAACAGUACCUUUUUUCUGUCUGGCUUUUUC